rnacentral:lncRNA from 1 species
UGUUAGCACUGCUCGUUCAUCAGCUCAGCGUUACAGCAGCUUGGGCCGCGAAGAUGAUGGGCCACGUCGGGGCAACCGGGCUAGACAGGCAAACAAGCGUGUUACAGGCCAGAAGUGGUGUUAGCGUGCAUGAGUCGCGUGCAUGCGUGUGUGGUGCUUAUCUGAGCAUCGCGUGCCUGUGAAACAGCAAGAAAGAACGGAAUUGUAAACUCAUCUUCCUCCUCAAGAAAUACUCCUCGCUAUCCUUCUUCCUCUGUUCUUCCUAGUUCAUACUCCCCUCCAAAUUCUAAUCUAAAUAUCUACCGCUGCCUACCCCUUGGAUUUAGUAGUUAACAUCUGGUAUCAGGUUCGUCGGUUCUGGGAUCUUUUCUCUUGCGGCCGCUCUGGAGCCGCGCCUUGCCCACGACCAUUUCACUCGUCGUCAACGCCGCCUGGGUGCAAUGGAUCCUAAUACCAAACUGCUCUUGGAUGAAAUGGACAAGCGAUUUGCGGUGCUGAUCUGAAGUGGGAGAAGAAGUUUGAUGUCUUGGUGUAGGCUAAGGAGGAGCAUCUAGCUGUUUUGGAGAAUGCCCAAGAAGAAAUUAUCUCCUGGAAGCCUUCGGUCGAUUCGUCCAUGGAUACCCUCAAGCUUGAGCUUUAGCCGCUCAACAAGCACAUGGAGCAUUCUAUGUUGGAGAACGCUAUUGGGGACCAAGGCUUGCUGCUCAAGCUGGAGUCGGUGGCCACGCGCCCAUCUGCCAGACUCUCCAUCGAUGGCCCAAUUGGGCACCGCGACGACCUUCUCUACCGGGAGCAGGGACUUAGGUCGAUGCUGACCUUCAUUUCUGGCCUGAUCAAGGGUAUGGCUGCUUCUCCUCCACCCUUUCCGCCUCCUAAAUUCCAUGGUCCACUUUAUGAAUCCUCCUGUUCACGGGGUCGUUCUGUGGAAACUGGGCAUCGUUAUGGGGGAAAAUUACCUAAGAUUUCUUUUCCUACCUUCGAUGGGUACAAUCCUAGACUAUGGAUAUCUAGAUGUGAGAUUUACUUUGAUAUGUAUCAUGUGGAGCCUGAUGCUUGGAUACGGGUGGCGUCCAUUCAUUUGUCACCUGUGGUUGCGUGCUGGUUCCAAUCGGUUGAACGCAAGUUCCAUGCUCUGACUUGGCCACACUUUUGCUUACUCUUGCAUGAACGGUUUGGCAAGGAUCAACAACAAUUGUUGAUUUGCCAGCUUUUUCGUAUUAGGCAGUCGGGGACAGUCUCUGAGUACAUUGAACAAUUUUCCAAUUUGGUUGAUUAGCUGUCAGCUUAUGAUUCCAUUCCUGAUCCCUUGUUCUUCACUACUAAAUUUAUUGAUGGGUUAAAUUAUGCUAUUAGAUCAGUAGUGCUUGUUUAACGCCCUCCCAAUCUGGAUUCUGCUUGUGCGCUUGCCCUUCUGUAGGAAGAAGUCGCUGCUCCUGUCAAGUUUAAGGACUUGCACAAGUCUGAUCAGGGAUUCUGGGUGAAGUCUGCUCCCAAGGGACCUCUACCUCUUCCUACUCCUCCUGUGAACACUACUGUUAGUAAAUCCUCUCUUCCUAAUGACAAGCGAGGGGGUUCUUCUGCUCGAUCAGUUGAGGACAAGAUGGCUGCUCUCCGGUCUUUUAGGCGUGCUAAGGGCCUCUGUGAUAGGUGUGCAGAGAAAUGGCACAGGGGACACACUUGUGCCACUACUGUGCAACUUCAGGCAAUGCAGGAAGUUUGGGAGUUAUUCAAUAUUGAAGAAUUGGAUGCUUGCUCUGGUGUUGAACAGCCCACUGAGGACCUGUUGUUUCUGGCAAUUUCAUCCGAGGCUAUGUCUGGUGGUGAGACUAAAAUGUCUAUGCAACUGAUGGGUAUGAUGCAACACUUGCCUAUUCAUAUUCUAAUUGAUUCUAGCAGCACCAGUUCUUUUGCGAGUCAGCAUGUGGUUGACCAAUUGAGCAAUUUCGUUAUCUCUCCUUCUCAUGUCAAAGUGCAAGUGGCUAAUGGAGGUGUCAUGUCCUGUUCUUCUGCUCUUCCUGAAGCUGAAUGGUCUAUCCAAGGUUGUUUAUUCAAGCAACAACUUAGAGUGCUACCUCUUCUAUCUUAUCAUCUAAUUUUGGGAAUGGACUGGUUGGAGAGCUUUAGCCCCAUGAAGAUCCAUUGGCACCAUAAAUGGAUGGUUAUUCCCUACAAUGAUACUACAGCAGUGUUACAAGGUAUUCUUCCUGCAAUUGCUGAAGAGUUGCUCAUCCAGAUCACUUCUGUUCAAGCACAGCCUUCUGCUGCUGAGGGAUCUACCUUGCCACCAAAGAUUUCUAACUUAAUUGUUCAUUUUCAAGUGGUUUUCUCUACUCCUAGUUCCUUAUCUCCUGAAAGAACUUGUGAUCACAGUAUUCCAUUGAUUCCAGGAGCUAGACCCUUUAAUAUAAGGCCUUACAGGUAUCCUCCUUCCUUGAAAGAUGAAAUUGAGAAACAAGUGGCUGAUAUGAUUUAGUUGGGCAUAAUUCGACCAAGUUCUUCUCCUUUUUCUUCUCCUGUACUACUAGUUAGGAAGAAGGAUGGCACUUUCAAAUUUUGUGUGGAUUAUCGAUAUUUGAAUGCCUUAACCUUGAAGGGGAAAUUUCCUAUUCCUAUUUUUGAUCAACUAAUGGAUGAGUUGGCUAGAGCCAGUUGGUUUACCACUUUGGAUUUGAUCUCUGGAUAUCAUCAAGUUAGACUGAAACCAGGUGAAGAAUACAAGACUGCUUUCCAAACUCACCAUGGACAGUUUGAGUUUUUGGUGAUGGCCUUUGGUCUAUCUGGGGCACCUGGCACUUUCCAAGGAGCCAUGAAUACUAACUUAUCUCCUUUUGUUGAGGCGAUGUGUGAUAGUAUUCUUUGAUGACAUUUUGAUUUAUAGUAAGACUUUUGAGGACCAUCUAGUUCAUUUAAAGGAGGUGUUGACGCUGCUACAGCAAGAUCAAUGGUAUGUUAAAGUGUCCAAAUGUAAGUUUGCUCAAAGGGAGAUUUCAUAUUUGGGACAUAUCAUUAGUGAGGCAGGUGUUUCUACUGAUUUAGCCAAGGUUGAUGCUGUCGUUAAUUGGCCAGUCCCUGUCAAUGUCAAGGAAUUAAGGAGUUUCUUGGGGUUGGCUGGCUAUUAUAGAAAGUUUGUGAAGCACUUUGCUGUCAUUGCCAAACCAUUGACCGAACUGUUAAAGAAGGGAGCUAUCUUUGUUUGGACACAACACCAGGAAGUGGCUUUUGUAACGUUGAAACAAGCUUUAAGUUCAGCUCCUGUCUUGGCUCUUCCUGACUUUUCUAAGCAGUUUUGUUUGGAAACUGAUGCUUGUAAGAAUGGUGUUGGAGCUGUAUUGCUGUAGGAUAGACACCCCUUAGCUUUUAUCAGCAAGCCUCUAGGAGUUAAGACUCAAGGUCUUUCCACUUAUGAGAAGGAGUACAUGGCUAUUUUAAUUGUUGUGGGGCAAUGGAGAUCGUAUCUGUUGCAUGGAGAAUUUAUUAUUUUCACUGAUCAAAAGAGUUUAAUUCAUUUGAAUGAACAGAGGCUUAACACUCCUUGGCAACAGAAAGUUUUUACCAAAUUGUUGGGUAUGCAAUAUAAGAUUGUUUAUAAGCAAGGUACUGAGAAUAGAGUGGUUGAUGCCUUGUCCAGAAGAGCACAUGAGUCUGUUGAGUGCUUUUCCAUUUCUGUAGCUACUCCUCAAUGGAGUAGAGCUAUCAUGGAUGCUUACUUUGCCGAUUCUGAUGCCAAGAGCAAGAUUGCUAAGUUGGUCCUGGAUAGUGCUGCUAUACCAAAUUUUUCAUAUCAAGAUGGGUUGCUCAGAUUUAAGGGUAGGAUUUGGCUGGGUACCAAUGUUCAGAUGCAGCAUCAAAUUUUAGAAGCCUUGCACAGCUCUGCUAUUGGGGGGCACUCUGGGUUUCUAGUCACAUACCAAAGGAUUAAACACCUUUUUGCUUGGCUUGGUAUGAAAAGGAGUGUUCAUUCCUUUGUAUCUUCAUGCUCUGUGUGUCAACAAGCUAAACCUAAGAGGGUUAAGUACCCUGGACUAUUGCAGCCUCUCCCUGUACCAUCUGGAGCUUGGCAUACUGUUAGCAUGGAUUUUGUGGAAGGCUUGCCUACUUCUGGUGGUAAAAACUGUGUCAUGGUCAUUGUUGACAAGUUUUCUAAAUUCAGCCAUUUUCUUCCUUUGAAGCAUCCAUUUACAGCAGCUGUUGUGGCUAAACUCUUUAUGCAAAAUGUCUAUAAGCUUCAUGGUAUACCUUCAGUCAUUAUUUUGGAUAGAGAUAGAAUCUUCACAAGUCAAUUUUGGAGAUCCUUAUUUUCUCUAGCUGGUGUUUCCUUAAGCAUGAGUUCGGCAUAUCAUCCUCAAUCCGAUGGUCAGACUGAGCGAGUCAAUCAGUGUAUGGAAACAUUUUUGAGAUGUUUCGUUAAUGCUUGUCCUAGUAAGUGGGUAGACUGGAUUUAUUUGGCCGAGUUUUGGUACAACUCCAGUUGGCACUCCGCUUUGGGAUUUUCUCCAUUCCAGGUGCUUUAUGGCUACUCCCCUAAACACUUUGGUAUUGAUACACUGUCGGCCUGUCCUGUUCCUGCCUUGGAUGAUUGGCUGCAAGAUAAGAUAGUUAUGCAAGACUUGGUGCAGCAGCAUUUUGGCUCGUGCUCAGCACUGGAUGAAGGUUCAAGCUGACAAGCAACGUUUAGAAGGACUUUGCAGUCGGUGAUUCAAUUUAUUUGAAGCUUCAACCUUAUGUGCAGUCUUCAUUGGCCCCGAGAUCCAAUCAAAAACUGGCCUUCUAUUACUUUGGUCCUUUCAAAAUCGUGGCUAAAAUUGGUCCAGUAGCUUAUAAACUGGAGUUACCAUCUUCUUCAUUGGUUCACCUUGUCUUCCAUAUUUCACAACUGAAGCAAGCAUUGGCGCCUGCAACUGAAGUUGCUCAACUCCCUGCUGACCUGGAUGGCUUCCAGGUUCCAGAGCAAGUUCUCCAGCGUCGCAUGGCUUCUGAUGGCACGGCACAGAUUUUGGUCAAGUGGUCUUGUAUGCCUCGUUCUCUCGCUACUUGGGAAGAUUCCAUUACCUUGCAGCAGCGAUUUCCUCGGGCUCCCGCUUGGGGACAAGCAGCUUCUUUUCAAGGGGGGAAUGUUAGCACUGCUUGUUCAUCAGCUCAGCGUUACAGCAGCUUGGACCGUGAAGAUGAUGGGCCACGUCAGGGCAACCGGGUCAGACAGGCAAACAAGCGCGUUACAGGCCUAGAGUGGUGUUAGCGUGCGUGAGUCGCGUGCGUGCGUGUGUGGUGCUUAUCUGAGCAUCGCGUGCCUGUGAAACGGCAAGAAAGAACGGAAUUGUAAACUCAUCUUCCUCCUAAGAAAUACUCCUCGCUAUCCUUCUUCCUCUGUUCUUGCUAGUUCAUACUUCCCUCCAAAUUCUAAUCUGAAUAUCUACCGCUGCUUACCCUCGGAUUUAGUAGUUAACACAGGAUGAAACAAAGAGAGAUGGAGAACGCUACAUGCAGUGGUGCAAGGCACGCGAACGGAGACUGCAUGACGCAAGACUCAAUCGCUGUCCACCAGCGCAGAUAGAGCUAGUCGUCAUCGCGGCGUUCGGAGUUGGUGACUGGCCGUGUUGUUCGCGUGAGGCCGGCGAGAUGUGCAGGGCUCCUUAGCUUUAGCUUAGGCACAUCGAUCUCGUGCGUCAUCGUGCCCGGCAGAUGGAGGAAACGCACGUGUAUUCAGUAUUCACUGCAGGAGAACCAGCAGAAUAAUGUGCCGGUCCCCUGUCCUACCUACUCCAUGUUGGGCUCUAUCCCUUAGGGAGGUGUGCAUGGGCCUGAAAAUUGGGCUUAUUUUAUCUUCAAAAAUAAUCGGGCUUAAUUACCCAGUAAACCGGUCUGCAGUGAGUGAUGUCGAGAGUGCACAAUUUUUUUUUUUGAAAGUGUGCACAAAAAUUUUCGGUAUCGCCGAUGCUGGCGCGCACGCAAGUGCGUAACGAAUUUUCGUCCAUUUCUUUUCAGUUUUCUGGUGACUUUUUCCCUGGUUCGUGCUCAUAUCUCGAGAUUCAAAGAAUCGAACAUACGCUGGCCAGCAUAGGAGGGACCGAGGGAGUGUAUCAACGAGGACAUGUAUAAUAAUUUAGACAACUGCUAUCUAUAUAACUUGCCAUGUCAUAUACAGACAGGAAUAGAGAUAGCUUAUACAGCAGGUUGUCUAUUUAAUUAUCUGCAGAUUAUUUAAUGCAUGUAUGUGUUCAUGAUCAAGCAUAAACUUGAUUUUUAUGUACAGUUUUGUUGCUUAUUUGAUUCAAAAAAGAUCAAUUAUAACUAAGAUGAACAUAAAUACAAAUAUAACAUAAUAGGCCUAAAUGAUGUUGUUAGAAGCACAAAUACAAUACAAUCUAUAACAAGCAUUUAGACAUGGAUCAAUAUUUAUUCACACAUGGAAUUGUAUUUAGCUAUUUACACAAAUUCACUUGAGACUCGAGAGUAGUUGUUCCUUAUGCAAGUGGGAUUUUUCAAGGGAGGUUUCAGUAAGUUCCCGAGAUACAAAAAUAUAGAUAGGGAUUUUGUGAUUUCGUAGGGGUCAAACUGGAAAGUGCCAUAAACAUAUCAAACCAGGCUAGUGGAGGGGCUCCAUGGGCAGCGGCUCUGAUGGUCGGCCUCGCUG